CAGUCGCCACGGGAAUACGAAGGUGGCAAGCGUUGUCCGGAAUUAUUGGGCGUAAAGGGCUCGCAGGCGGUUUCUUAAGUCUGAUGUGAAAGCCCCCGGCUCAACCGGGGAGGGUCAUUGGAAACUGGGAAACUUGAGUGCAGAAGAGGAGAGUGGAAUUCCACGUGUAGCGGUGAAAUGCGUAGAGAUGUGGAGGAACACCAGUGGCGAAGGCGACUCUCUGGUCUGUAACUGACGCUGAGGAGCGAAAGCGUGGGGAGCGAACAGGAUUAGAGACCCCGGUAGUCCCUGUCUCUUAUAC
rnacentral:rRNA from 1 species